rnacentral:rRNA from 1 species
GGGAAUCUGCCCCUUGGUUCGGAAUAACAGUUAGAAAUGACUGCUAAUACCGGAUGAUGACGUAAGUCCAAAGAUUUAUCGCCAUGGGAUGAGCCCGCGUAGGAUUAGCUAGUUGGUGUGGUAAAGGCGCACCAAGGCGACGAUCCUUAGCUGGUCUGAGAGGAUGAUCAGCCACACUGGGACUGAGACACGGCCCAGACUCCUACGGGAGGCAGCAGUGGGGAAUAUUGGACAAUGGGCGCAAGCCUGAUCCAGCAAUGCCGCGUGAGUGAUGAAGGCCUUAGGGUUGUAAAGCUCUUUUACCCGUGAUGAUAAUGACAGUAGCGGGAGAAUAAGCCCCGGCUAACUCCGUGCCAGCAGCCGCGGUAAUACGGAGGGGGCUAGCGUUGUUCGGAAUUACUGGGCGUAAAGCGCACGUAGGCGGCUUUGUAAGUUAGAGGUGAAAGCCUGGAGCUCAACUCCAGAACGGCCUUUAAGACUGCAUCGCUUGAAUCCAGGAGAGGUGAGUGGAAUUCCGAGU